rnacentral:rRNA from 1 species
AUUAAUAAGCGGAGGAAAAGAAACUAACCAGGAUUCCCCUAGUAACGGCGAGUGAAGCGGGAAUAGCCCAGCACCGAAUCGCACGCCCCAGUGGCGUCGCGAACUGUGGUGUUUAGGACGAGCGCAUGCACGGCGAUACGGUGUCCGAGUCCUCCUGAUCGGGGCUUUGCCAUAGCGGGUGUCAGCCCUCUACGGCGCCGGAUCGACGUGCCCGCCACGUCCUCGGAGUCGGGUUGUUUGAGAAUGCAGCCCAAAGCGGGUGGUAAACUCCAUCUAAGGCUAAAUACGUGCACGAGUCCGAUAGCGAACAAGUACCGUGAGGGAAAGUU